AACGCGAAGAACCUUACCAAGUCUUGACAUAUUACGGCGGGGUCUAGAGAUAGACCCUUACUUCUUCGGAAGACUGUAAUACAGGUGGUGCAUGGUUGUCGUCAGCUCGUGUCGUGAGAUGUUGGGUUAAGUCCCAUAACGAGCGCAACCCCUAUUGUUAGUUACCAUCAUUAGGUUGGGGACUCUAGCAAUACUGCCGGUGACAAACCGGAGGAAGGUGGGGAUGACGUCAAAUCAUCAUGCCCUUUAUGACUUGGGCUACACACGUGCUACAAUGGCAGGUACAGAGGGAAGCGAGACUGUGAAGUCAAGCAAAACUCAAAAAGCCCGUCCCAGUUCGGAUUGCACUCUGCAACUCGAGUGCAUGAAGUUGGAGUUGCUAGUAAUCGCAGAUCAGAAUGCUGCGGUGAAUGCGUUCCCGGGUCUUGUACACACCG
rnacentral:rRNA from 1 species